GAUGAACGCUGGCGGCGUGCUUAUCACAUGCAAGUCGAACGAAGCACUUUAUUUGAUUUCCUUCGGGACUGAUUAUUUUGUGACUGAGUGGCGGACGGGUGAGUAACGCGUGGGUAACCUGCCUUGUACAGGGGGAUAACAGUUGGAAACGGCUGCUAAUACCGCAUAAGCGCACAGCAUCGCAUGAUGCAGUGUGAAAAACUCCGGUGGUAUAAGAUGGACCCGCGUUGGAUUAGCUAGUUGGUGAGGUAACGGCCCACCAAGGCGACGAUCCAUAGCCGACCUGAGAGGGUGACCGGCCACAUUGGGACUGAGACACGGCCCAAACUCCUACGGGAGGCAGCAGUGGGGAAUAUUGCACAAUGGGCGAAAGCCUGAUGCAGCGACGCCGCGUGAGCGAAGAAGUAUUUCGGUAUGUAAAGCUCUAUCAGCAGGGAAGAUAAUGACGGUACCUGACUAAGAAGCACCGGCUAAAUACGUG
rnacentral:rRNA from 1 species